rnacentral:rRNA from 1 species
GACGAACGCUGGCGGCGUGCCUAACACAUGCAAGUCGAGCGAAUGAAGUUCCUUCGGGAAUGGAUUUAGCGGCGGACGGGUGAGUAACACGUGGGCAACCUGCCUCAUAGAGGGGAAUAGCCUUCCGAAAGGGAGAUUAAUACCGCAUAAGAUUGUAGUAUCGCAUGAUACGGCAAUUAAAGGAGCAAUCCGCUAUGAGAUGGGCCCGCGGCGCAUUAGCUAGUUGGUGAGGUAACGGCUCACCAAGGCGACGAUGCGUAGCCGACCUGAGAGGGUGAUCGGCCACAUUGGGACUGAGACACGGCCCAGACUCCUACGGGAGGCAGCAGUGGGGAAUAUUGCACAAUGGGGGAAACCCUGAUGCAGCAACGCCGCGUGAGUGAUGACGGCCUUCGGGUUGUAAAGCUCUGUCUUCAGGGACGAUAAUGACGGUACCUGAGGAGGAAGCCACGGCUAACUACGUG